ACAUUGGUGGUUCAGUGGUAGAAUUCUCGCCUGCCACAAGGGAGACCUGGAUUCGAUUUCUGGCCAAUGCA
rnacentral:tRNA from 1 species